AGGCAAAUGGCGGGCGUGCUUACACAUGCAGUCGAACGGUAAGGCCUUCGGGUACACGAGUGGCGAACGGGUGAGUAACACGUGGGUGAUCUGCCCUGCACUUUGGGAUAAGCCUGGGAAACUGGGUCUAAUACCGGAUAGGACCAUGCGAUGCAUGUCGUGUGGUGGAAAGCUUUUGCGGUGUGGGAUGGGCCCGCGGCCUAUCAGCUUGUUGGUGGGGUGAUGGCCUACCAAGGCGACGACGGGUAGCCGGCCUGAGAGGGUGUCCGGCCACACUGGGACUGAGAUACGGCCCAGACUCCUACGGGAGGCAGCAGUGGGGAAUAUUACACAAUGGGCGCAAGCCUGAUGCAGCGACGCCGCGUGGGGGAUGACGGCCUUCGGGUUGUAAACCUCUUUCAGUAGGGACGAAGCGUGAGUGACGGUACCUACAGAAGAAGCACCGGCCAACUACGUGCCAGCAGCCGCGGUAAUACGUAGGGUGCGAGCGUUGUCCGGAAUUACUGGGCGUAAAGAGCUCGUAGGUGGUUUGUCGCGUUGUUCGUGAAACCUCACAACUUAAUUGUGAGCGUGCGGGCGAUACGGGCAGACUGGAGUACUGCAGGGGAGACUGGAAUUCCUGGUGUAGCGGUGGAAUGCGCAGAUAUCAGGAGGAACACCGGUGGCGAAGGCGGGUCUCUGGGCAGUAACUGACGCUGAGGAGCGAAAGCGUGGGGAGCGAACAGGAUUAGAUACCCUGGUAGUCCACGCCGUAAACGGUGGGUACUAGGUGUGGGUUUCCCUCCUUGGGAUCCGUGCCGUAGCUAACGCAUUAAGUACCCCGCCUGGGGAGUACGGCCGCAAGGCUAAAACUCAAAGAAAUUGACGGGGGCCCGCACAAGCGGCGGAGCAUGUGGAUUAAUUCGAUGCAACGCGAAGAACCUUACCUGGGUUUGACAUGCACAGGACGCCGGCAGAGAUGUCGGUUCCCUUGUGGCCUGUGUGCAGGUGGUGCAUGGCUGUCGUCAGCUCGUGUCGUGAGAUGUUGGGUUAAGUCCCGCAACGAGCGCAACCCUUGUCUCAUGUUACCAGCACGUUAUGGUGGGGGACUCGUGGAGAGACUGCCCGGGGUCAACUCCGGAAGAAAGGUGGGGGAUGACCUUCAAUUCAUCAUGGCCCCUUAUGUCCCGGGCAUCCCCCAUGGCAUCAAAGGGCCGUGAAAAAAGAGUAUCAGAUCCCUUGGAGUGGAGCCAAUCC
rnacentral:rRNA from 1 species